UUAAGAGUUUUGAGUGGAUGCCUUGGGUAAAAGUGCCGAAGAAGGACGUAGUUGGGUGCGAAAAGUUCUGGUCAGGUUCCAACAACCGUGAUGAGCCAGAAAUAUCCGAAUGGGGAAACCUGUCCUUAGGGACAUCAUGGCAAGCCUGCGAAGUGAAAUAUCUCAGUAGCAGGAAGAAAGGAAAGCGUAAGCGACUCCCUUAGUAGUGACGAGCGAACAGGGAUCAGCCUAAACCGGUACAGUGUAAGCCUUCAAGCGUUGCUGUAUAACGGGGUAGCGGGAUCAUGAGGAGGUAGUUGAAGAUGCCUCACAGAGUAAGAAAUCAUCAGACUAGUAGAAGGAGCUGAGAACUCCACCAUAGAGGGUUAUAGUCCCGUAUAUGACGGUCAGAUGACUCUGUCAUGUCUCCCAAGUAGCGUCGGACACGAGAAAUCCGGCGUGAAUCUGUGCAGACCACUGCAUAAGGCUAAGUACACUUUUACACCGAUAGCGAAUAGUACCGCGAGGGAAAGGUGAAAAGAACCCCGGGUAGGGGAGUGAAAUAGAUUCUGAAACUCAUAACUUACAACGGGUAGGAGCCCGGCACUUUUAGCUGCUAAGCUAGAUUGCAAUGUAUCGAGUAUAUAUUAUCCAAAACAAUAAUUGAUCACUGUACUAUGGUUAUACACAGGAUAUGGAGAUGAGACUUCAUCAGCACAAUGCUGAUCAGAAUACAUCUACUGCCAAACAAUGACCAUGGAAUAUUGUGUAUUGUGAGUGAUAUCGCACGAAAACAGAAGCAAUUCAUAGAGAACAAUCUAUCAAAAAAUCAGGAAAGAUUAGAUCCUGACUCAAAAGAAGAUUGUGAUUGUUUGGUGACUAAAAGUGCCGGGUGACUGCGUACCUAUUGACGAAUGGGCCAGCGAGUUAAUGCUAGUAGCAAGGUUAAGACAGAUACAGUCGGAGCCGGAGCGAAAGCGAGUCUGAACAGGGCGUUCAGUUGCUAGUAUUAGACCCGAAACAAUAUGAGCUACACAUGGGCAGGUUGACGGUCGGGGGAACCCGGCUAGAGGACCGAACCGGUUGGUGCUGCAAAACCUUCGGAUGACCCGUGUGUUGGAGUGAAAAGCUUAUCGAAUAUUGUGAUAGCUGGUUCUCCCUGAAAUGCAUUUAGGUGCAGCCUGCUAGUUAAGAUCUUACAGGGGUAGGGCUCUGAUAAGGCUAGGGGGAUCGAGAGGUCUUACCAACCCUUGUUAAACUUCGAAUACUGUAAGGAAUCUAGUGGAGUGAGACUGCGGCAGCUAAGUGUCGUAGUCAAAAGGAUAACAGUCCAGACUUCUGACUAAGGUCCCUAAAUUAUAGUUAAGUGGAAAAGGUGGUGUGGUUGCACAGACAUCCAGGAGGUUUGCUUAGAAGCAGCAAUCCUUUAAAGAAAGCGUAACAGCUCACUGGACGAGCGAUCAUGCGCUGAAGAUGUAACGGGGCUCAAACUAUAUACCGAAGUCGAAGACCUCUUUGAGGUGGUAAGGGAGUGUUGUAUACUGGUUGAAGGUGUGCUGUAAGGCUAUCUGGACGGUAUACAAGUAAGAAUGCUGGCAUGAGUAACGACUACAAAUGAAAAUUUUGUACGCAUAAAGCCUAAGGUUUCCUACGCAACGUUCAUCGACGUAGGGUUAGGCGGGACCUAAGGGAAGACCCGAAAGGGGUACCCGAUGGAUAGCCGGUCAAUAUUCCGGCCCUUAAUUAUCAAGUGAUGUGGUGACGCAUUGGGAUGUGUGUGAGCUUUCUAAGGAUGAGAGUUCAAGCAACAAAUUGUAUGAGAUAGGCAAAUCCGUCUCGUAGCUAUCAGUGAGUUGUAUGAUAACUUUGACCUCGGUCAGGGAAAUCACAUAGUUCCGGUGCCAAGAAAAACCGCUAGCGUUAAUUGAUGAUUAACCCGUACUCAGAACCGACACUGGUAGGCAGGUUGAGAAUACCAAUGCGCUCGAGAUAACCAAUUUAUAAGGAACUAGGCAAAUCAGCGGACGUAACUUCGGGAUAAGUCCUGCCCGGCACCGCAAGGAUGCCGGGCCGCAGCGAAAGUCGUGGGGGGAACUGUUUAUCAAAAACACAGCUCUCUGCUAACAUGUAAAUGGAUGUAUAGAGGGUGACGCCUGUCCAAUGCCAGAAUGUUACGCUCUCCGGUUCACGCUUGAGAGUUAAGCACUGGUGAAUGACGGCCGUAACUAUGACGGUCCUAAGGUAGCGAAAUUCCUUGUCAGGUAAGUUCUGACCCGCAUGAAUGGCGCAAUCAUCCCCACACUGUCUCGUGAUUGGUCUCGGUGAAAUUACAUUACCGGUAAAAAUGCCGGUUAGUCGCGGUUAGACGAAAAGACCCUAUGAAGCUUUACUGUAGGUUGAUAUUGUAUUGUAGUAUGUGAUGUUCAGGAUAGGUGGGAGGCUUUGAAGUGCGGACGCUAGUCCGUGUGGAGCCAUCCUUGAGAUACCACCCAUAACAUAUAGCAAUACUAACCUCGCACAGCGAGGAACAGUGUCAGCUAGGCAGUUUACCUGGGGCGGGUGCCUCCUAAAUUGUAACGGAGGCGCACAAAGGUGUGCUUGUGACGGAUGGAAACCGUCGCUGAAGUGUAUUCGCAAAAGCACGCUUGACUGCGAGACUGACAGGUCGAGCAGGUACGAAAGUAGGUGAAAGUGAUCCGGAUCUUCCGAGUGGAAGGGGAUCCGCUCAACGGAUAAAAGUUACUCUGGGGAUAACAGGCUAAUGGGAUCUAAGCGUUCAUAGCGACGAUCCCGUUUGGCACCUCGAUGUCGGCUCGUCGCAUCCUGGGGCUGUAGAAGGUCCCAAGGGUUGGGUUGUUCACCCAUUAAAGCGGGACGCGAGCUGGGUUCAGAACGUCGUGAGACAGUUCGGUCUCUAUCUACCGUGACCGUAAGCAAUUUGAGGAGUGCUGACCUUAGUACGAGAGGACCGGGUUGGACCAGCCUCUGGUGUGCCAGUUGUCGAACCAUCGGCACCGCUGGGUAGCUAUGCUGGGAACUGAUAACCACUGAAAGCAUCUAAGUGGGAAACAUGCUCCAAGAUAAGAUUGCUCAUCUCGUAGCAAUACGAGAGUAAGACCCCCGGGAGACCACCGGGUUGAUAGGCACUAUGUAUACGCAUGGCAACAUGUUGAGCAAAGGUGUACUAAUCGGUCGAGGAACUUAUUG
rnacentral:rRNA from 1 species